GAUGAGCGAGGGCAAGAUCUUCUACCACGGGCCCACCACCAAGGCGCUGGAGUACUUCGAGGGCCUGGGCUACCGCUGCCCCGAGAACACCGACGCCCCAG
rnacentral:SRP_RNA from 1 species